GCCCCUGUAGCCCAAUGGAUAGGGCGCUGGCCUCCGGCGCCAGUAGUACAGGUUCGACUCCUGUCAGGGGCA
rnacentral:tRNA from 1 species